UACAGAGGUCCCAAGCGUUGUUCGGAUUUACUGGGCGUAAAGGGUGCGUAGGUGGUUGGAUAAGUCUGAUGUGAAAUCUCCGAGCUUAACUCGGAAACGGCAUUGGAAACUAUUCGACUAGAGAGUUGGAGGGGGGACUGGAAUACUUGGUGUAGCAGUGAAAUGCGUAGAUAUCAAGUGGAACACCAGUGGCGAAGGCGAGUCCCUGGACAACUUCUGACACUGAGGCACGAAAGCUAGGGGAGCAAAC
rnacentral:rRNA from 1 species